rnacentral:rRNA from 1 species
GACAGAGGUGGCGAGCGUUGUUCGGAUGGAUUGGACGUAAAGCGUACGCAGGCGAUGUGGUAAGUCAGAGGUGAAAGCCCACAGCUUCACUGUGGAAGUGCCUUUGAUACUGCCUUUCUAGAGUGCAUGAGGGGGAAGCGGAAUUCCGAGUGUAGAGGUGAAAUUCGUAGAUAUUCAGAGGAACACCGGUGGCGAAGGCGGCUUCCUUGCAUGUAACUGACGCUCAGGUACGAAAUCGUGGGGGGCAAACAGGAUUAGAUACCCUGGUAGUCCACGCCCUAAACGAUGGGCACUAGAUGUGGGACGUAUCGACCCCUUCCGUGCCGCAGCUAACGCAUUAAGUGCCCCGCCUGGGGAGUACGGCCGCAAGGUUGAAACUCAAAGGAAUUGACGG